rnacentral:rRNA from 1 species
UACGGAGGGUGCAAGCGUUAUCCGGAUUCACUGGGUUUAAAGGGUGCGUAGGUGGGUUGGUAAGUCAGUGGUGAAAGCCCCGAGCUUAACUUGUGAACUGCCAUUGAUACUACCAAUCUUGAAUACUGUAGAGGUGGGCGGAAUACAUCAUGUAGCGGUGAAAUGCUUAGAUAUGAUGUAGAACACCAAUUGCGAAGGCAGCUCACUAUGCAGUUAUUGACACUGAUGCACGAAAGCGUGGGUAUCAAACAGG